AGGGACAGGUGAAAAGAACCCCGAGAGGGGAGUGAAAUAGAUUCUGAAACCAUUUACUUACAAGUAGUCAGAGCACGUUAAAGUGUGAUGGCGUACAUCUUGCAGUAUGGGCCGGCGAGUUAUGUUAAAAUAUGCAAGGUUAAGCAGAAAAAAGCGGAGCCGUAGGGAAACCGAGUCUGAAUAGGGCGACUUUAGUAUAUUGGCAUAUACCCGAAACCAGGUGAUCUAUCCCUGAGC
rnacentral:rRNA from 1 species